rnacentral:rRNA from 1 species
CAGCCGCCACGGGAAUACGGAGGGGGCUAGCGUUGUUCGGAAUUACUGGGCGUAAAGCGCACGUAGGCGGCUUUGUAAGUUAGAGGUGAAAGCCCGGAGCUCAACUCCGGAAUUGCCUUUAAGACUGCAGAGCUAGCAGGUGAGAGAGGUCAGUGGAAUUCCGAGUGUAGAGGUGAAAUUCGUAGAUAUUCGGAAGAACACCAGUGGCGAAGGCGACUGACUGGACAAGUAUUGACGCUGAGGUGCGAAAGCGUGGGGAGCAAACAGGAUUAGAUACCCGCGUAGUCCCUGUCUCUUAUAC